rnacentral:rRNA from 1 species
AUUGAACGCUGGCGGCAGGCCUAACACAUGCAAGUCGAACGAGUGGCGGACGGGUGAGUAAUGGCUGGGAAACUGCCUGAUGGAGGGGGAUAACUGCUGGAAACGGUAGCUAAUGCCGCAUACGGUCGGAUGGGCCGAGAUGGGAUGAGCUAGUAGGUGGGGUAAAGGCUCACCUAGGCGACGAUCCCUAGCUGGCCUGAGAGGGUGACCAGCCACACUGGAACUGAGACACGGCCCAGACUCCUACGGGAGGCAGCAGUGGGGAAUCUUGCACAAUGGGCGCAAGCCUGAUGGAGCAACGCCGCGUGAAUGAAGAAGGCCUUCGGGUUGUAAAGUACUUUCAGUGGGGAGGCGUUACCCGCCGAAGAAGCACCGGCUAACUCCGUGCCAGCAGCCGCGGUAAUAC